UAUACGUGGCUCAUUGACGCGUCGCCUGGCAACGCGUGUUGCGGCCAAACAAACACGGCAAUACUUUGCAGACGUUAGCUGAGAAUUCGUCCAAUUUAUUUGGCAAGGUUAACUGAGUCGCCAACAUAGCCAACUAUCAGAAACAGAACCUGUUGGGCAGCCAUCACCAUCUGCUCCACAUCGCCGAACCGAAUCAACUGCAACUGCUGCCCGCAGUGACUACGACGACGACGACGCCGACUUCA
rnacentral:sRNA from 1 species